AUUUGAUUUGAUGUAUUUAUAUUAAAGUAAUAAUUUUGGUUGGGGUAAAAAAUGAAAAGAUGAUGUUUAAUAUGUUUAUUUACCACCCUGUUAUUUUACCUCAGAAUGUAAUACACUGUUCUAAAUGGAAACCUGACAUUCCUGACACUUAAACAAUAUUCUAAAAACAUAAAGCAUAUGUAAAUAUCAAGAAAUCAAAGUAAUAUUGAAUGAAAAUCUCAAAAUAAUGACAUGGUAAUUCACUUAUUAAUAAUAUAUAUAAACAUGUGUUUGGUUUCUAUGAGUUGAGAAUCGGUUUCCAUAGAGAAUAAAAAGGAUAAGUGAUAUUCUUUUUUCUGAUUUAUGUUACAGAGAUAUCUCACUGUUGCACAAAUUAGCCUAGCCUAGCAUAUUGUUUAACGCAGUAAUAAGAAUAUUCAGUAAUUAAACUUUUUAUAGUUUUAUAAGACAGUGUUGAUGUUCUCUCUGGGCUUUCUCAGUGUCCAGUCCCACAGUGUACAGUCAGCUAGCUGAAGAGAUUAGCAUCUAGUAGGUCCAUCAGAGUGGAGUGUGUGUGUGGGACUGAAGGACUGGGUUCUACUGCUGUUCUCUGGACUAAAUGAAAAUGCUGCUGAUCUGUGGAGUUCUGCUGAUGUUCACAGGAUCUGCUGUGGGUCUGAUUACAGUAGAUGAUCGGUGCAGAUCUGAUCAGAGCUGUGUGUUUUAUGGAGCUGUGGGACGCCGGCUGGACCUGCAGCUUCCUAAAGAUGAGGAAUUAAAAUUUUUUAGGAUAAAGAGAAGAUUUUUUUCUGAUUGCAUUUUACAUUUUAAAAACCAAAAAAUUAUAGAAAACCCUUCAGAUCCAAGAUGGGAGUUUAAUACUGAAAACAGAACCAUGACAAUAACCAGAGCAGAGAAAAGAGAUUCAGCAGGAUACAGAUUAGAAACCUUCAAUUCAACUGGAUCUAACACAGGCAUUUACUAUCUCCAUCUGAUUAUAGAAGGUCUGAUUACAGUAGAUGAUCGGUGCAGAUCUGAUCAGAGCUGUGUGUUUUAUGGAGCUGUGGGACGCCCGCUGUACCUGCAGCUGCCCGAUGAGGAGGAAUUAAAAUUAUUUACGAUAAAGAGUGAUUAUUAUUCUGAUCGGAUUUUACAUUUUAAAAAUAAAAUAAUUAUAGGAAAACCUUCAGAUCCAAGAUGGGAGUUUAAUACUGAAAACAAAACCAUGAUAAUAACCAGAGCAGAGAAAAAAGAUUCAGCAAGAUAUAGAUUACACACCUACAAUUCAACUGGAACCAACACAGGCAUUUACUAUCUCCAGCUGAUUAUAGAAGCUGUGGUGUCGUCAGUGGACGUUACAGACAGCUGUUUUACCAGAUUGAAGAGAAGAGUUCACUGUUUAUCUGAUGGAGAUGAGAUUCAGUUCAGCUGGACUCUGGAUGGAAUCCCACAUAAUCAGAAUCUGACUUAUGGGAAUCGGAUUCUCCUGCUGGAUAAAAGUUUUACUGGAAGCGUCACCUGCUAUGUAAAUAAUCACGUCAGCAAUGGAUCUGCUACAAUUAAAAUAGAGCACUGUCCUGCUCUGAAUAUUGUAGAUGAUCUCUGCAUUUAUCAGCGCUGUGAGUAUUAUGGAGCUCUGGGACGCCCGAUGUACCUUCAGCUGCCUGAUGAUGAAGAAUUAUACCUACAGAAAUUCAGUAGCACUUAUCAGGUUUUAAGAUUUAAAGAGCCUAUAAUCCAACAACAUCCUUUAUAUCCAAGAUGGCAGUUUUUUCCUGAAAACAGAACCUUAAUAAUAACCAGAGCAGAGAAGAUCGAUUCAGGAGCAUACCAAUUACUCGCCAUUUAU
ensembl:lncRNA